UGCACGCGCUGCCUCGCCGCCGCCAGCCUGCGUGGCUCUCGUUACCACGCAUUCUCGUACGCCGCAGAUCGCAGUCGUAUACGUUCGAUAUACGAUCGAAAUCUAACUUCUUUUGACUCGAAUAUAUUUUUUUAUUAGCGAUAACGCUUGUAUUUACAUAUGUACUGGUCAUAUCGGCAUUUGUUUACAUUUUCUUAUGUGCCAUUUUUCGCUCAACUUAACGAACUUUUCCAAGUGUACUGAAAGUGAAGUGUGUAUUUGAGUAAUUGAUAACUGAAGGAAAAGUCCGAACUAAUUUUUAAGACGUUUCAGGUAAUCUCUGAAAAGGCUAGACCGAUUUUGACGGGACGUUCACUGGCAGAUGAUAUUACGAUAAUGAACGGAAGACUCAUCCCAACAAUAAAUGCCAUAGACACAUACUUGACGGCCCAAGCAGGAUGUGAAUCCUGUGUCGGUGGUCUAGAAACACAAAAAGCAAAAACUCAAACACCCAGACAAAAGGAAACAUCUUUAUGGCCAAUACAAAACUUUUUCAUAUACGGAGAUCAGAGUCAGUUGCUGUGACCACUGAACAAAUGCGUUGUCACUUGGGCAUUGAACACAGCAUUUGUAAUCAGAAGGCCACCGAGCACCGU